UCAGCUGCUGCCUGUGCCUCUGAGCUCCUUGUUUUCCUGCCUUCAAGCAGUUCAGGCUUCACUGCAGCCCUGACUGACGGCCUCCAGGGCAAUCAAAGGAAUGCCGUUAGCUCGCAUUUCUGGGGAAAACAAACCAAACCAGAAACGGCUCGCUGUUCUGCUUUUUUUUUUUUCUCCUUCCCUCACUCUUCAGAGGGAAGACCCAAAUGCCUUUCUCCCACAUGGAACCAUGAAAAAUUCAUUAUACGUAUUACUGCACGACAAAAGCCGCGAUGGGGCCACGUGCGUGACACUUUCUAUGGCGGAAACGGCAGUAGCCUUGUUGGACAGACCGCGCAGACAGAAACCUUCUGGCUCUGUUGCCCAGGUUGGAAUGCAGUGGCAUGAUCUCGGCUCAUCACAACCUCUGCCUCCUGGGUUCAAGCAAUUCUCCUGCCUCAGCCUCCUGAGUAGCUUAGGACUACAGAUGAGUUUCACUCGUCACCCAGGCUGGAGUCCAACGGCAUGAUCUCGCCUCACUGCAACCUCCUUCUCCCAGUUCUGCAGGCUGGGAGCCGAGAUCAAAGUGCCAGCAGGUUCCACUGCCCGGAGAGGGAUGCUCCCUCCGCAGCAGAGGAAUGACUGAGGUCGCGGGAGAGAAACACAAAGAAGCUGACACUGCUGUUGCGCGAAGCCUCUUUUAUAAGGGCCUUGAUCCCAUUCACGAGGGAGGAGUCCACGUGGUCUCAUCACCUCUUAAAGGCCCCACCUCUUAACAAUCUCAUUGACAUCACCUGGGUUUUGGAAGGGACACAUUCAAACCCUAAUGGUAAAUAACAAACCUUCGUCAGUGCCUCUGAAAGGAUCUGAAAAUGUGUAAUUACAGCAGGUGUCUCUGGUGAUUCUUCCACACAAAAUGUUUGAGAGCCAUGUGUUUGAUUUUACAUAAAA